AUUGAACGCUGGCGGAAUGCUUUACACAUGCAAGUCGAGCGGCAGCGCGGGGCAACCUGGCGGCGAGCGGCGAACGGGUGAGUAAUGCAUCGGAACAUGUCCAUGUCGUGGGGGAUAGCCCGGCGAAAGCCGGAUUAAUACCGCAUACGCCCGAGAGGGGAAAGUGGGGGACCGCAAGGCCUCACGCGAUUGGGUUGGCCGAUGUCCGAUUAGCUUGUUGGUGAGGUAAAGGCUUACCAAGGCGAUGAUCGGUAGCUGGUCUGAGAGGAUGAUCAGCCACACUGGGACGGAGACACGGCCCAGACUCCUACGGGAGGCAGCAGUGGGGAAUUUUGGACAUUGGGGGCAACCCUGAUCCAGCCAUUCCGCGUGAGUGAAGAAGGCCUUCGGGUUGUAAAGCUCUUUUGUCCGGAACGAAACGGUGCGGGUGAAUAUCCCGCGCUACUGACGGUACCGGAAGAAUAAGCACCGGCUAACUACGUGCCAGCCGCCGCGGUAAUAC
rnacentral:rRNA from 1 species